AGCUCCAAAAGUGUAUAUUUAAGUUGUUGCGGUUAAAAAGCUCGUAGUUGGAUUUUGGGCGCAGGCGGCCGGUCCGUCGCAAGGCGUGUACUGGCCGUCCUGGCCUCACCUCCGGUUCUCCGCCGGUGCCCUUGACUGAGUGUCGGCGGCGGCCGGAACGUUUACUUUGAAAAAAUUAGAGUGUUCAAAGCAGGCGAUUCGCCUGAAUAAUGGUGCAUGGAAUAAUGGAAUAGGACCUCGGUUCUAUUUUGUUGGUUUUCGGAGCGCGAGGUAAUGAUUAAGAGGGACAGACGGGGGCAUUCGUACUGUGCCGUUAGAGGUGAAAUUCUUGGAUCGGCGCAAGACGAACGACUGCGAAAGCAUUUGCCAAGAAUGUUUUCU
rnacentral:rRNA from 2 species